AACUCAAGAGGAAAUCAAGUUGUUUGUGUACCAUAGGGGACACAUUUUCGCCGCAAUGUAUGAUAUGACCAUCCUCAUUAUCCUGGUAUGUUAUAAAAACGAAUGUUUGCAAUUACAUGAAUUAGCUUGAGAGAUCAUUCCUAUACGAUUUUUUCUCACAAAUAUUUACUUUAAGACUGCGCACGAUUGUCAUAUAAAUCUUACAUAAUU
rnacentral:lncRNA from 1 species